rnacentral:rRNA from 1 species
UGGAAGCGUCUGGAAAGGCGCGCGAUACAGGGUGACAGCCCCGUACACAAAAAUGCACAUAUUGUGAGCUCGAUGAGUAGGGCGGGACACGUGGUAUCCUGUCUGAAUAUGGGGGGACCAUCCUCCAAGGCUAAAUACUCCUGACUGACCGAUAGUGAACCAGUACCGUGAGGGAAAGGCGAAAAGAACCCCGGCGAGGGGAGUGAAAAAGAACCUGAAACCGUGUACGUACAAGCAGUGGGAGCCUCUUUUAUGGGGUGACUGCGUACCUUUUGUAUAAUGGGUCAGCGACUUAUAUUCUGUAGCAAGGUUAACCGAAUAGGGGAGCCGAAGGGAAACCGAGUCUUAACUGGGCGUUAAGUUGCAGGGUAUAGACCCGAAACCCGGUGAUCUAGCCAUGGGCAGGUUGAAGGUUGGGUAACACUAACUGGAGGACCGAACCGACUAAUGUUGAAAAAUUAGCGGAUGACUUGUGGCUGGGGGUGAAAGGCCAAUCAAACCGGGAGAUAGCUGGUUCUCCCCGAAAGCUAUUUAGGUAGCGCCUCGUGAAUUCAUCUCCGGGGGUAGAGCACUGUUUCGGCAAGGGGGUCAUCCCGACUUACCAACCCGAUGCAAACUGCGAAUACCGGAGAAUGUUAUCACGGGAGACACACGGCGGGUGCUAACGUCCGUCGUGAAGAGGGAAACAACCCAGACCGCCAGCUAAGGUCCCAAAGUCAUGGUUAAGUGGGAAACGAUGUGGGAAGGCCCAGACAGCCAGGAUGUUGGCUUAGAAGCAGCCAUCAUUUAAAGAAAGCGUAAUAGCUCACUGGUCGAGUCGGCCUGCGCGGAAGAUGUAACGGGGCUAAACCAUGCACCGAAGCUGCGGCAGCGACGCUUAUGCGUUGUUGGGUA